rnacentral:rRNA from 1 species
GAUGAACGCUAGCUAUAGGCUUAACACAUGCAAGUCGAGGGACCGGCGCACGGGUGAGUAACGCGUAUCCAACCUGCCCAUAACUAAGGGAUAACCCAGCGAAAGUUGGCCUAAUACCUUAUGGUUAUGGAUGGGGAGGCGUCUGAUUAGCUUGUUGGCGGGGUAACGGCCAACCAAGGCAACGAUCAGUAGGGGUUCUGAGGGUAAAGACCCCCAGAUUGGGACUGGGACACGGUCCAAACUCCUACGGGAGGCAGCAGUGAGAAAUAUUAGUCAAUGGACGCAAGUCUGAACCAGCCAAGUAGCGUGCAGGAUGACGGCCUAUGGGUUGUAAACUGCUUUUAUAUGGGGGUAGGUACCAUAUGAAUAAGGACCGGCUAAUUCCGUGCCAGCAGCCGCGGUAAUUC